AUUCCUGUUGAAAGCCAGGAUCUGUCACCAAUAAUUGGUCGCUUACCCUGAAUAACAGGGGUUGGUGGCAGGGAGCCAGUAGCGAAACCGGUCAUGUAGAUU
rnacentral:ncRNA from 1 species